rnacentral:rRNA from 1 species
GACGAACGCUGGCGGCGUGCUUAACACAUGCAAGUCGAGCGGUAAGGCCCUUUCGGGGGUACACGAGCGGCGAACGGGUGAGUAACACGUGGGUGACCUGCCCUCAGCUCUGGGAUAAGCCUGGGAAACCGGGUCUAAUACUGGAUAUGACUCCAUGACGCAUGUUGUGGGGUGGAAAGCCUUGUGCGGCUGAGGAUGGGGCCCGCGGCCUAUCAGCUUGUUGGUGGGGUGANGGCCUACCAAGGCGACGACGGGUAGCCGGCCUGAGAGGGCGACCGGCCACACUGGGACUGAGACACGGCCCAGACUCCUACGGGAGGCAGCAGUGGGGAAUCUU